rnacentral:rRNA from 1 species
AUUGAACGCUAGCGGGAUGCCUUACACAUGCAAGUCGAACGGAGUGGCGAACGGGUGAGUAAUGUAUCGGAACGUGCCCAGUAGCGGGGGAUAACUACGCGAAAGCGUAGCUAAUACCGCAUACUUUUGGAGCGGCCGAUAGCGGCUUAGCUAGUUGGUGGGGUAACGGCUCACCAAGGCGACGAUCCGUAGCUGGUUUGAGAGGACGACCAGCCACACUGGGACUGAGACACGGCCCAGACUCCUACGGGAGGCAGCAGUGGGGAAUUUUGGACAAUGGGGGAAAGCCUGAUCCAGCCAUGCCGCGUGAGCGAUGAAGGCCUUCGGGUUGUAAAGUACUUUAAGUGAGGAGGCGUUACCCACAGAAGAAGCACCGGCUAACUCCGUGCCAGCAGCCGCGGUAAUUC